UACGUAGGGAGCAAGCGUUGUCCGGAAUUACUGGGCGUAAAGGGCGCGUAGGCGGAUAAUUAAGUCAGGUGUGAAAACUCUGGGCUCAACCUGGAGAUUGCACUUGAAACUGGUUAUCUUGAGGGCAGGAGAGGAAAGUGGAAUUCCUAGUGUAGCGGUGAAAUGCGUAGAUAUUAGGAGGAACACCAGUGGCGAAGGCGACUUUCUGGACUGCACCUGACGCUGAGGCGCGAAAGCGUGGGGAGCGAACGGGAUUAGAUACC
rnacentral:rRNA from 1 species